UUUUUUUUCUCGAUACCACACUUUUGCACUUGUAAACACGCGGCCAGUCUGUAUAUUUAAGUUUGUAAAGUGUUACGUGCGGACUUGCAAUGCGUUCGGGGGGGUUGUUUUUUUUUUAUUUGUGCAGGAAAAUGCAAGGCGCCGCGUGGCGGGUGAGUUGAUUUGGUCCUCUUCAAUAUGUGUCGUUUUCCAAGUGCAAUUCUAUAUGGAAAUGUGAUUUUUAUUUAUUCUUCGCAUUAUUUUCUCCCGCUGCGUAACGUGCAGAGGACUUGAUGUGUAUGGAUUGUACUUUUGUUCUGUACUUAAUCAGGUGCUUUACUUUUUAAAAAUAUUAAAGAAUAUGGCCUCUAUUGAUUUAAUUGGAGUAUUUUUUUUUUUUUAAUAUUAGAUGAUUAUUGUGGCGAUGGCGCUUUAUAUUCCGAAUCAAAUAACAAAGCUAUUCACUGAAUGACUGCAGAGAUUUAUUCUAACAUAACAAAUUUUUGUUUUUGAAAUGAGAAUGUAUGUUCAACUUGGACUUUCAUUGUGGCCCCACUAGGAAAGCACAACUAAAACAAAACUCCUGCUUGAAAAGCCAUAAUGCUCCCUGGAAACAAGUGCUCCUAUUUUUAAAAAAAAAAAAAAAAAAAGUAUUUUGUAUGAUGUCAUUUGUAAAUGUGUGAACUUUCGAGAUCAUUUUGUUCCCCUGUGCUUUGUUUCAUUUUGAUAUGCGCAAAAUAAGCAUGACAGUAUUUUCUCGCUCUUCAGCUUUUUUUUCGGGUGGGGGGGGUGACAAUUGCAGGCGAGGACGCGUGUUUGGAGAUGGCGUAAUUUCUAUGUCGUCUGUGUGACUGCACUGUCAGUGGCACUGGUUGCUUUGCUCUUUACAACUUGCAAUAAAGUUUAUUUUUGCAUACUCGCAGCA